UAAAUUUUCCACAGCCUAACU
ensembl:piRNA 21ur-15504 ncRNA